CCUACGGGUGGCAGCAGUGAGGAAUAUUGGUCAAUGGGCGGGAGCCUGAACCAGCCAAGUAGCGUGAAGGAUGAAUGCGCUGCGGGUUGUAAACUUCUUUUGUCAGGGGACAAAGUGAGGCACGUGUGCCUUUUUGUGUGUACCUUAUGAAUAAGCAUCGGCUAACUCCGUGCCAGCAGCCGCGGUAAUACGGAGGAUCCGAGCGUUAUCCGGAUUUAUUGGGUUUAAAGGGUGCGGAGGUGGGGUGUUAAGUCCGGUGUGAAAGUUUGCGGCUCAACCGUAACAGUGCCGUUGAUACUGGCAGUCUUGAGGACGGUUGAGGUAGGCGGAAUGCGUGGUGUAGCGGUGAAAUGCUUAGAUAUCACGAAGAACCCCGAUUGCGAAGGCAGCGUACUAAACUGCCACUGACACUGAGGCUCGAAAGUGUGGGUAUCAAACAGGAUUAGAUACCCUAGUAGUC
rnacentral:rRNA from 1 species